ACGGGAGGCAGCAGUAGGGAAUUUUCGGCAAUGGGCGCAAGCCUGACCGAGCAACGCCGCGUGAACGAAGAAGUUAUUCGUAAUGUAAAGUUCUUUUAUCAGGGAAGAAAAAACAAAUUGACGGUACCUGAUGAAUAAGCUCCGGCUAACUACGUGCCAGCAGCCGCGGUAAUACGUAGCGAGCGAGCGUUAUCCGGAAUUAUUGGGCGUAAAGGGUGCGUAGAUGGCACAUUAAGUUUCUUGUAAAAAUUCUAGGCUCAACCUAGUAUGGCGAGAGAUACUGAUGAGCUAGAGUACGGGAGAGGCAAGUGGAAUUCCAGGUGUAGCGGUAAAAUGCGUAGAUAUAUGGAAGAACACCAGUGGCGUAGGCGGCUUGCUAGCUCGAUACUGACAUUGAGGCACGAAAGCGUGGGGAGCAAACAGGAUUAGAUACCCUGGUA
rnacentral:rRNA from 1 species